rnacentral:rRNA from 1 species
UACGAAGGGGGGCUAGCGUUGUUCGGAAUCACUGGGCGUAAAGGGCGCGUAGGCGGCUCUAUAAGUCGGGGGUGAAAGCCUGUGGCUCAACCACAGAAUUGCCUUCGAUACUGUAGAGCUUGAGACCGGAAGAGGUAAGUGGAACUGCGAGUGUAGAGGUGAAAUUCGUAGAUAUUCGCAAGAACACCAGUGGCGAAGGCGGCUGUCUGGUCCGGUUCUGACGCUGAGGCGCGAAAGCGUGGGGAGCAAACAGG